rnacentral:rRNA from 1 species
CAGUCGCCGCGGUAACACAGAGGGUGCGAGCGUUAAUCGGAUUUACUGGGCGUAAAGCGUGCGUAGGCGGCUUUUUAAGUCGGAUGUGAAAUCCCUGAGCUUAACUUAGGAAUUGCAUUCGAUACUGGGAAGCUAGAGUAUGGGAGAGGAUGGUAGAAUUCCAGGUGUAGCGGUGAAAUGCGUAGAGAUCUGGAGGAAUACCGAUGGCGAAGGCAGCCAUCUGGCCUAAUACUGACGCUGAGGUACGAAAGCAUGGGGAGCAAACAGGAUUAGAUACCCCCGUAGUCCCUGUCUCUUUACA